CCCAAACUUAUCAUGGGACUCUAACCCAAACUUAACAUGGGACUCUAACCCAAACUUAUCAUGGGACUCUAACCCAAACUUAUCAUGGGACUCUAACCCAAACUUAUCAUGGGACUCUAACCCAAACUUAUCAUGGGACUCUAACCCAAACUUAACAUGGGACUCUAACCCAAACUUAAUAUGGGACUCUAACCCAAACUUAUCAUGGGACUCUAACCCAAACUUAUCAUGGGACUCUAACCCAAACUUAUCAUGGGACUCUAACCCAAACUUAUCAUGGGACUCUAACCCAUACUUAUCAUGGGACUCUAACCCAUA